rnacentral:rRNA from 1 species
UAAGACGUAGGUGGCAAGCGUUACUCGGAAUUACUAGGCGUAAAGCGCGCGUAGGCGGAAUGUUAAGUUUAUUGUGUAAUCUCUGGGCUCAACCCAGAAACUGCAAUAAAAACUGGCGUUCUUGAGUGAGGCAGAGGAAAUCGGAAUUCCCAGUGUAGCAGUGAAAUGCGUAGAUAUUGGGAGGAACACCGGUGGCGAAGGCGGAUUUCUGGGCCUUUACUGACGCUGAAGUGCGAAAGCUAGGGGAGCAAACGGG